UAACGUAGUCUAUUGUGAUUGGAUCCCGAUAUAACAUUGUCUAGUAUAUUGCUUUCGAUAGUCUAGCGGGUCGACAUUCGGAACUAUCUCUCGUUAGUUCUACGACUUGUGAUCACAAAGGAGAAAACAAAAGAAGUUAAUCGCACGUCUCUCGUUCGAGGAAAGUAAGCAACAGAAGAAGAGAAAUAUCCAAGCAAUCCUAAAAGAAGCUGAUCAAGGAUGAAUCUUAAAGUGUUUGUACUGCUGUGUAUCGUGCUGAUGGCUGUGAUCAUGGUGGACCAAGCAGAGGGCGGCCAAUGCCAGCGAAAAUGCUUAGGGCAUUGCAGAAAAAAGUGCCCUAAACAUCCCCAGUGUCGGAGAAGAUGCAUAAGACGCUGUUUCGGGUACUGCAUGCGACGCGGAGAUGAACCCGAACAAAUGGCUCUUGAUGAUGAGAGCGACACAUUGGUGAUCCUUCCAAACAACUUUAACGACUACUGACGACGAGGACAAGUACGGACGCCGGAAUCUCCCUAACUAGUUUAGAAAUGCUGUUCCUGCCGGCAGCAACUAAAAGGAAAAAGUUUACGUGUAACGAUAAAUUUAAACGGCUCGGAUAAAAUAUAAAAUGCCCCUCCAAGUUCCCUCGACCAAUUUUGGUGUGGAUGUAUCUGAAGGGUUUGGGUACUAAAUCUUUAGGUCUGAGCUAUUCAGGUUUGGAUCACACAAAGUAACAUCGAAGGAACUGGAUUGAAAAAAUCCAAAAAAAAGGGGAAAAAAAUGAUGAAUAAAUAAUAAAUACGAAUAAAAACGAGAUGUUA